UUCCCAUCACCAUCCUUGUUAUGGGCAGAGAGGCCCUACACCAGCAGAGAAGGGGUUAAGGAGAUCCUAUGGCCCCAGUUAGCCCUGUCUCUGCUAUAUGUGAAGCCAGUGCCAAGCGUGGAGGGGGAAUAAAAAGAGAGAGCCUGACUCAGUUGCAGACUGACUGGUCAGGAAGGAGGAUAGAGCUCUGCCUCUGUGCUGCUAACUAGAGCAGCUACUGGGCAGGAGCAGUCAGAUGCCAGGAGCAAGCGAUGCAUGAGAAAGAGAAGGAUGGGGCACCCCACUGGAAGGCUGGGGGAUGGUCCAUCAUUGAGUUGGAUUUGCUUUUAUUUUGGAACUUUUGGGGGCUCAACUCUCCCCCCCCACCAAGGAAAGUAAGACUGGAGGGACAAUUAGCUGGUGGGCCAGAGCUCUGCUACAGUGGGCCCUGGAGGUGCAGACUUCUUUCCUGGGAGACCUGCAGCCACACUGGGGCAAUAGAAGGCCCACAAGAGGACUCUGUUCCUGCCACGGCACUACACUCCUCCUUCUCAGCUGCAGUUUGAGCCUCAAGUUUUUCUACCAGGCCAGUAACAUUAUCCUCUGAUGAGGAGGCAUAGAAGCUCUUUCAGACUCUUUCUCCAGCUGAAAUGACUUGAGGAUACUAAGGUGAAUUUGUUUCAUGUUGCUGAAUCUGCAUUUAUCUGCCGAAAAAAUUAAUCAAAAAAAAUUCCUUCAGUUCUACACAUGAACGCCUUAACAGACCCAGCUUCCGGGCUCUGUAAAGGGGAAAUCUCAGCUUCUGUUGAGAAAGCACCCACGAAUGCUUCUCAGCAGAGAGGACAAUGGCUGAAUGGGCAUGAAGAUGGAACCUACCAUCCAGGAUGAAGCACUUUGAUGGGACCGCACCAGGGUAGCUUAUCCUGCUACUGCCUUGUGACAGUCUGCGCCUCAAAGUAGCACCCUGGAACCCUCAUAAUCACCAUGGUGAAAUUAUGAUAAAUUUUGUAUGGAAUAUGCCUUGUGAGGUAUUAUCUGAAAUGUCUCGAUCUGUUGAACAUUUAUGUCCUGUCGGAUUGUAUGUGCUGUCGUCAUAGGUGAAGAUAUGAAGCAUUGCUCUAUGUGUUACUGAAAUACAUUGUGAGUUUGGGAGAUGCCCACAACCAACGUUUCAAUUGCAACAAAGAACCAGCCAGAUGUGUGUGCUGCUGGGCCAUUAAAGGAAUCCACGCUCCCAACUCUGGCCAUCCCAGAGACUUCUCAGAGAGGGCAUGUAGGCAAUGGAGACUGAUUGACCAAUGGGGACUACCUGAUCCCCAGGUCACAGCAAAGAUCUUCCCAGAAAGCUGGAAGAAAAUAUAAAAGAGGGGAAGUGACAUCAUCACUUGGUCUCUCUCCUGCCCCAACUCAACACCUGGAGGAACAUCGGCAGGAUAAAUACUUUGAACUGUGGAAGGGUGGUCCCAGGCUGGAAAAGGGAGUCCAGUCUGUGUAUGGAGGAUCUGUAACCUGUUUGUACCAUCUGUCAGGGUGAGACCCUGCUUGAAUCCAAUCUGGUUUAGUCUGUAGAACUUAGACUGCACAUUACUUUUUAUUUCUUAAGUACCCAACGCUAAUCUCUAUGCCUGCUAUUUAUAAUCACUUAAAUCUAUCUUUCUGUAGUUAAUAAACCUGUUUUUAUGUUUUCCCUAAAA